GGGGGUAUAGCUCAGCUGGGAGAGCAGACUGAAGUUGCUUGUAGAUUGGCUGUUGUUCUGAAGGUCCCGCGUUCGAUCCGCGGUACCCCCA